UGUAUGAGUUGUGWUUGGGWUGUUUUUGCUGGCUGGCUCCAUGCUUUCGCAUCGAACGGUCGGCACGCAACCCCCGUUUCAAGUUGCGUCGUUGCGUGAUCGCGGUUCCUGUGUUGCCUACCUCUUGAAUGGUAUUCGCGUGGCUCGUCGGAUUCCGUCCAUCCAGCUCUCCUCCGAGGGGUGCUGGGGGACUUCAAAGUGAUACACAUGCCCCACGUUAGUUGUUUUGGUUACUGAAGCGGCUACCGUGGUGCAUGUGUGCUUGCUGCUCUCUCGGACGCGGUGCAUGAGAUGAAACACGGGAGACUCUCCCAUUCAGUCCCUUUAGUCUCGGUUGCCUUGGAAUGACACCUGCCUUCGUGCUCGCUUGCUCUCCAUUCGUGGUUGCAUGCGGGCAUCGACGAGCGGAGCUGUUAACGGAUG
rnacentral:misc_RNA from 1 species